rnacentral:misc_RNA from 1 species
CUAAGGAGCACUUCUGCAUCGCACCCUGAAGAGUCGGGGAUGGUAAACGUUGAUGCCAGAGACCGUUUAGUCCCCGUCUGUGGGACUGCGGACGCUCAUGGGUGGAACGCUGACAGGUUUCAUCGCAUUCGGUCAAUCCUGUGUGGUUGGUCGUGGUGGAUAUAUCUACACACUGUUGGGUCCUGAGAGAACACGCGAGUGUUUCUUUCUAGGCAAAUAGACGAUCCGGUCGGGUUCCCGGUCAUACCGAUCUCAGUCUUUGGGCUGGGGUGCUGGUGUCGGAAUUGGAUUCGUUCGGGUGUGUUGUUUGAGAACUGCACAGUGGACGCGAGCAUCUUUGUUUGUAAGUGUUUAAGAGCGUAC